rnacentral:rRNA from 1 species
GUGGGGAAUAUUGCACAAUGGGCGCAAGCCUGAUGCAGCGACGCCGCGUGGGGGAUGACGGCCUUCGGGUUGUAAACCCCUUUCAAUAGGGACGAAGCGCAAGUGACGGUACCUAUAGAAGAAGCACCGGCCAACUACGUGCCAGCAGCCGCGGUAAUACGUAGGGUGCGAGCGUUGUCCGGAAUUACUGGGCGUAAAGAGCUCGUAGGUGGUUUGUCGCGUUGUUCGUGAAAACUCACAGCUUAACUGUGGGCGUGCGGGCGAUACGGGCAGACUGGAGUACUGCAGGGGAGACUGGAAUUCCUGGUGUAGCGGUGGAAUGCGCAGAUAUCAGGAGGAACACCGGUGGCGAAGGCGGGUCUCUGGGCAGUAACUGACGCUGAGGAGCGAAAGCGUGGGGAGCGAACAGG